rnacentral:rRNA from 1 species
UACGUAGGGUGCAAGCGUUGUCCGGAAUUAUUGGGCGUAAAGAGCUCGUAGGCGGUUUGUCGCGUCGGCUGUGAAAACCUGGGGCUCAACCCCGGGCCUGCAGCCGAUACGGGCAAACUAGAAUUCGGUAGGGGAGACUGGAAUUCCUGGUGUAGCGGUGAAAUGCGCAGAUAUCAGGAGGAACACCGGUGGCGAAGGCGGGUCUCUGGGCCGAUAUUGACGCUGAGGAGCGAAAGCGUGGGGAGCGAACAGG